UUAAUUGAUAACUGGCUGGGACUUUCCACUAGAAAGAAAUGGAAACACAGUGAGCAUUCCUGCUAGCUGCUUUUCUUUUGAAUCAAGUCAACCCUGGGAUUAUCUUGUCUGAGAAAUUCAAAGCGGCUUCGUGGCUGUAGCAUUCCUUCGUGCAAUGUGCAGACAUAUACAAAGUAUCUCUGUUUCCGAGAACUCUGGAGGAACUCAUGAAGAAAGGACUAGGAGCUGAGAUUUCAAGUAACCACAGAGUGAUCUGGGGAAGAGGAUAAGCAUCUAUCACAGCCAGGAAGACUUACUCUACACAGCACCACAGCACGGUUCUGACUCCGGAGGGGCUCAAAUGGAAUGCAGCCUUCAGCUUUAGCUUCCUGCCAGAAGAGUCCCUGUGUCCUAUAGGCAACCAUGUUGAAUUGAACGCUACCCGGCACCCACUGGCUGGUCCAUGAGGCCCUCACACAAACCUCAUUCUUUUGCUUGGUGAGCACAGCUCCGCGACCUAUGGCAGCUAUCUCUGAUGUGUCCAUGUCUCUUUUGAUUUCCCCUGGCGGCUGCUUGUGCCCUACAGCCCAGGACCCAACAGAAUAGUGCCACCCCACAUUCAGAGUGGUCUUCCCUCUUCAGUUAAACCUGUCUAGAAACACCAGAGACAAGGGCUCCACGGUGAUGCAAAGUCCAAUCAAGUCGACUGCAGGUGUCAACUAUCUGGGAUAUCAUUUGAAAGUCACAUCAUCUUUCCCCCCAGACAAUCCGCUAAAAUGGAACCAAUAAUGCUUCAAGGGUGAUCUUGUGUGGAUCAAGAUCCUUGCAAAUGCCACUGGUGAGGAUGAAAUGACACUGGGCACUCCUUCCAGUGGAUCAGAUUUAACUGGUGUCCCCCCGAAAGAUUCCGGAGUUGCCUCACAAAAGAAAAAAUGGUUACUCUGACAUGACAACGUUUUGACACAUGGCUGGAGCCCGAGUUUAAGAAAUAGACAGUCUGACACUCAUAAGCCUGAAUGGCCAAGGCAUGGGGAAUUCCUGCAAGUUGUUUUUAAGCAGUUGCCUAGCGACUGACUCCGCAAGAUGCUUUUGCUUUGCAGAGUGAAAUUACAUGACCUAGAGAUGAUGGGGUGGCCUGUGGCGUCGACAGGCUGUAAUAAGGGCUUUGUUGUUUUUAAGGGUUAUUUUAGUGUUUGUUAGACUCUCUGAAACACAUCUCUAUUUAUUAUUUAAGCCUCAUGAAGACAAGAAAAAAAUAUUCAAUACAAAAAAAGGAAAGAGGAGACGGUGGGAGAAAAAGAGGAGUGUACAGGAGGACUCUUACUAAGGCCUAUGAUCCCAGAGACUGAAGCGUCCAUUUUAAAGCUGAUGGCAGGUAGUUUCUUGACGUGAGCCAGGCUUGAUGCUGGGUGCUUUACAGCAACCAUUUCAAGCAUCAGGUUUAAGUUCCCUCCUGUUACUAAUGAAGACCUGAAUGCUUGCUUGAGUUUGGUUAUCAAAUCAGAUCUCACCCAGCAGAGUCCAGUUGGAGAGGCUAGACCUUCAACUACUCUGCAUCAUCUCUUCUACCUAACCUGGGCUCCAACUGCACAAACGCCACCCACAGGCCCGGGGCCUGGGUGAGGAGACAGAGAAAGUCCCCAAGCCAGGAGAUCUGAGUUAAUUAUCUGAGUUACUUAUCUCCUGGGAAUGCAAGAGCCCCAAACGAGCCUUCCUCUGCUCUGUAAUAAAACUUCUCCAAGUUGGAUAAACAGUCAAGAUAGCAAGGAAGGAAACCGGUGUCUGAGAGCUGACUCCUUGUCUCAGGAUCCUGAUAGCGAAGCUGGGCCCAGGGCUUUGACUUUGUCAGGAGACCUCUCUGGGCCUCCUUCCUUCCUAAAGAGGAGGGUAGCCUGGGCAAACAUCUCUCUCUUCCUUGGCUGCACAUCAGAAACACUUGAGGAGCUUUGAUAAAAACGUCAGUACCAAAGCCUUACCCAUUCCUGCUGAGAAUCAUCAGUGUCAAGGAAGAUCAGGACUUAUUGUAGGAAAUAAAGCAUCUUUUACCCUCCUGCACAGAGCUAACAAUUUCAUGGGACAGAAGAAAAAUUGCCAAGAGGAACUCUAACCAAUACAUAUUUAAAAACUACGCUCUGUUUUAUGUGUAUGGCUUCUAUACGUGUGGGCUUAAGGAACCAAGAGCUAAAAAUAGCCGGGGAGAAAUUGAGGCUGUACUGAACACCCACAAACAUUCUUUCUUACCAUUGUUCUCCAAACAGUAUAAGACCUAUUUACAUAGCAUCUACAUGGUAUAGGUAGUAAAAAUAUAUUAUAAAUGUAACUAUGAAUCUAGAGAUGAUUAUGUAUAUAGGAAGAUAUGGUUGGCUAUAUAAAAACACUACAUCGUUUGCUUGAAUGAGAAAUGUCUCCACGGGCUUGGGCUUUUGAAUACUUAAUCCUCAGCUAGUUGUACUAUUUGGGGGAAGUGCGCCCUUUCUGGAGGAAGUUUGCCACUGGGCGCUGGCUGGGAGAGCUGAAGACCUCACCUUACAGAGUUCAAGCUCUGACUCUGGAUGUGAACUUCCAGCUUCCUGUUCCUGCAGCCACACCUACUGCUCAUUGUCACACUUCUGCUUCCCCAUUGUGGAUUCUUAUCCCUCUGGAACCAGAAGCCAAAAUAAACUCUCUC